rnacentral:snRNA from 1 species
GUGCUCGCUUUGGCAGCACAUAUACUAAAAUUGGAACGAUACAGAGAAGAUAAGCAUGGCCCCUGCGCAAGUAUGACAUGCAAAUUCGUGAAGCGUUCCAUAUUUUA